GUAAAUUGUGAAAUCAAUGUUCUAAAGAGUCUGACUCUAUAUCCCUCACCCCUAACAUUAUCCACAAGCCCAUGUAAGUGACAACCCUUCAUCUCUACAAACUGAUGUUUCUCCGUCUCUCACCGUUUCUCCCUUUAAUUUAGCAAACUCAUUCUUAGCUAUACCAAUUUCCCAGCUUAAUAAUUCCAGGAAAGAAAAAUGAAUUAGAAAUCAAAUAGGUUAAAAACAAACAAAAAAGGAGUACUGGUUCAACUAUUUAGCCUAGAUAAAAACCACUCAAGAGGAUAAAAGGUACAGGGGUGGGCAAAAGUGGGUUUACAGUUCUGAGUACACAAAACAUUUUAUCCUUAUGUUAUCAUUUAAUUAUUGUACUUAGUGGUUUUACAACUUUAAAACUAUUUUUUUCCAACCCUUUAUAUGAUUUUUCUUUUUAGGUAAAAGGACAUAAAUGUAUGGAUGAGUAUAUAUGAUGAUGAUACGGACAAAUUAGUUAUUAAAUGCUUAGUACAUGUCUACUGUCUGUCCUAAGACCUUUCUGUACAUGUUCUAACAUUUAAUUCUCCCAACAACCCUGUGAAGUACAUAAAGCAAAGUCCUUUCUUUGAAUGCUACUGUUUCCUUAUAAUGUUGAUUAAAAGAAAAACAAGCAAUUUCUGGCCGGGGCCCACUGUCUGUGCAUAGUUUGCAUGUUUCUCACCAUUUCUGCAUCAGUUUUCUCCAGGUACUCCAGUUUUUUCUCCAUAUCCCAAAGAUGUGCACAGUAGGUUAACUAGAGUGUCUAAGUGGCCCCAGAAUGAGUGAGUGUGUGUGUUCAUGAACUCUGUGACCAAAUGAUGUCUUGUCCAACACUGGUUCCCACUUUGCUCCCUAAGCUGCCAGGAUAGGUUCUGGCCACCCAAGACCCUGAACUCGAAGAAUAGGUUAGAAAAUAAUUACCUUACUUGUUUAUAUUAAUCUUUCUUAAAUGUAUGUAUAGCUCACAUUUAUUUCAAUGUUUAAUAUUAAAAGUGCUAUGUGGUCUUUAUUUAGAAGUUUGGAAAUGUUUUUGUGCCUGGAAAUAUGGUGUAGGAACUUAACUCUUGUUUCUAUCAAGUAGCCUUUGUAAAAUAGGUUUCAUUAUAUGUCAUUUUGCUUAAAGUCACAUUUUCUAAGAACCUACUGAUGAUGUUAUAUGAAGACCUGAAACCCAAAAAGUUGGCAUUCGUGCGGAUUCCUCUCACCACCAGAACCACUAAGUAGAGACAAGGAUUGAAUCUUUAUGGGUGCUUUAUUCAGAUGCUGGCAAUCUAAGAAGACGUGGGUUAUGUACCCUCAAAAACCGUCUUAACAUUUCAUCUCAAACUGACCUUUUUAUAAAGAGAAGAAGGGGCAGGUUAGGGGUU